rnacentral:lncRNA from 1 species
GAGGAGCUUCUUCAAGACUUCAAAGAUAGAGAAGUGGAUUCAGAAAUUUUUCCAACGAAAUGUAUACUAAAAAAGGUCACUACGCGUCUCAGACCAAAAGCUAAAGGUAAAUCUCCUUUUGCUUUUUGUCUACGCACUUAAAACCUCAUUUAUGUUUACACACGAAUGCACACCUGUUGGAUUCUAUGCUAAUUAAUAUCAGCUGUUCCAACCAAAAGUUAGGGCAAUAACGACAGAAAACAGGCGAGGGCUGCGUAGUCUUUACCAGGACAUGGAGUCUUGUGGUGAGUAUGAAGAUAUACAAGUGUUGUGGAAGAUGAUUAAUUAUGCUCGCCCGUCAAUUGCCCAUAAAACCAGAAGAAACAAAUGGACUUGUUAUUGGAGAUUCAGAUUCUGUUUUAAACCAAGCUAGAUUAUGCCCUUCCUGUCAUUUAUUUAUACAAUCUCACUCGGAAACGGUUCUCACUCACAAGCCCAAG